rnacentral:tRNA from 1 species
AAACCAACAAGAACUGCUAACU